rnacentral:rRNA from 1 species
CCUACGUGAGGCAGCAGUGAGGUAUAUUGGUCAAUGGGCGGAAGCCUGAACCAGCCAAGUAGCGUGCGGGAUGAAGGCCCUACGGGUCGUAAACCGCUUUUGCACGGGGCUAACACCCUCCACUUGUGGAGGUCUGCAGGUACCGUGCGAAUAAGGGCCGGCUAAUUCCGUGCCAGUAGCCGCGGUAAUACGGAAGGCCCGAGCGUUAUCCGGAUUCAUUGGGCUUAAAGGGAGCGUAGGCGGGCGUUCAAGGCAGCUGUAAAAUCGCGCGGCUCAACCGCGCCCCGCAGUUGAAACUGGACGCCUUGAGUUCACAACAGGCAGGCGGAAGUCGUGGUGGAGCGGUGAAAUGCAUAGAUAUCACGAGGAACCCCGAUUGCGAAGGCAGCCUGCCGGGGUGCGACUGACGCUGAGGCUCGAAGGUGCGGGUAUCAAACAGGAUUAGAUACCCGGGUAGUC